UGCGUAGGCGGAUUAAUAAGUCAGUGGUGAAAACCUGCAGCUUAACUGCAGACCUGCCAUUGAUACUGUUAGUCUUGAGUACGGUCAAGGCAGGCGGAAUGUGUAAUGUAGCGGUGAAAUGCUUAGAUAUUACACAGAACACCGAUUGCGAAGGCAGCUUACUGGGCCAUUACUGACGCUGAGGCACGAAAGCGUGGGGAGCGAACAGGAUUAGAUACCCUGGUAGUCC
rnacentral:rRNA from 1 species